AUGGGAGGAGUGUUAAUGCUGAGUAGGUGUAUAAUAGGGGCGCAGGUCUUAACAAGCAGAUUCUGUGGAAGUGCAUGAGACGUGAGCCAUGUUUUCAUCAGUGGGGGGUGGACAUGCUGUGUGUUUGUACAUGCUGAUGUGUGUGUAAGUGUCAAGCGCUUUGACUGUUUCUCGUCUUGUUUGACCAGUCCAUGCAGCUUGGCUCACACUCUGAAACUGAGAUUUCUUAUCCACUGCAUCAGAAAAGCACGUUUACUGCCAUGCCACCUUCAUGAGCACAAGUUCUGCUGUAGCUUGCACUUGCAGGUAACAGUUUCCAUCCAUCAGCUUAUGUUCAACACACACUUUGAAAACAGGGCACCCUGACUUUGAGCAAUGCAUUUCCAUGACAUUUACAUUUGUUUGUGACCAAUUUUGAAGUGGNAAAAUUAAGUCGUUAUAACGAGAAAACGAACUUCGUUAUGUCGAGAUAACGAGAAAAUUAAGUCGUUAUAACGAGAAAACGACCUUCGUUAUGUCGAGAUAACGAGAAAAUUAAGUCGUUAUAACGAGAAAACAAAAAGAAAAAAAAUUAUAAUGCAUGGCCGCUUAGAACUUCCGUAGAUUUCAAUAUGUAUGCACAGAUGUCUCAAGAAAAAGACACAUUGCAAGAUCUCAAUGUGACUUUCAGAGCCUCCAUGCUCCCUUCAGUCGAGAGGACAAGAUUCAAAACUCAUUAUUGAGAUAUGGGACAAAACUAUUUCCUAAUAUGCUAUUAAUUUUAAAUAGCUGCAUUUUCUCUUUAUAACUAGAACAGGCUUAACACAAAAGGACAAUUUAAAUGUUUAUGUGGCAUAAUCUACAUAACCAAAUGGUCACCAAAGCACAACUAAAUAUAAAUACAUAUGUGAUGUGCAAAUUCUAUCAACUGAAAAUGAAACAAUUAUUCUCUAAUUCAUUAAAUGUGUUUAUUUAUUGAGCUAUCUAGCUUUUUAGCAUCUGACCAAAUUGACCCAUAACCUACUGAGUGAUGGUCAAGAAAAAAACUGAUUCUCAUUUGAGAAAAUGUAAAAAGCAUGAGGUUUUACUAAUGUAAAUUAAUACCUCUGAACUUAAGUAGUAUCUAGCCAAUUAAAUAAUUAUCAGAGUAAAACUGCUACAUAUAAAGUGUAUAUCCAUUGAAU
rnacentral:lncRNA from 12 species